GAUAUGGCUCAGAUUGAACGCUGGCGGCAGGCUUAACACAUGCAAGUCGAGCGGGGAUAGGGUGCUUGCACCUGAUCCUAGCGGCGGACGGGUGAGUAAUGCUUAGGAAUCUGCCUAUUAGUGGGGGACAACGUUCCGAAAGGGACGCUAAUACCGCAUACGUCCUACGGGAGAAAGCAGGGGAUCUUCGGACCUUGCGCUAAUAGAUGAGCCUAAGUCGGAUUAGCUAGUUGGUGGGGUAAAGGCCUACCAAGGCGACGAUCUGUAGCGGGUCUGAGAGGAUGAUCCGCCACACUGGGACUGAGACACGGCCCAGACUCCUACGGGAGGCAGCAGUGGGGAAUAUUGGACAAUGGGGGCAACCCUGAUCCAGCCAUGCCGCGUGUGUGAAGAAGGCCUUUUGGUUGUAAAGCACUUUAAGCGAGGAGGAGGCUUACCUGGUUAAUACCCGGGAUAAGUGGACGUUACUCGCAGAAUAAGCACCGGCUAACUCUGUGCCAGCAGCCGC
rnacentral:rRNA from 1 species